ACUGGCAGCACUUCCCACAGCUGAAGGAAGAAGUCACUAAUGACCAAAGGAAAAUCUGGAGGCGCAUCACAGGGCUCACAACAUCUUCAUCACAACUUUAUGAGGAUAACACUUUUAUUUUUCCUAUUUUGCAGAUGAGAAAACUGAGGCACAGAGAGGUGAAAUAAGGAAUGAAAUAUUACUGGAUGAAAUAAUUAUACUGAUCCUAGCCUUAUUUUAAAAGGGCCCCCAGAAUGCUCUUCUCCAAGACUUAGAAAAAUCAAAUGCUAUCCAUCCCUCAAGAUACAUCCCUCCAGCCCCUCCUUGAAGUCUCCUGCAGCUAGAAGUAGAAGUAGCAUCUAUCCCCAUCUGGACUCCUUAGCACUUUGCUGUACCUGCCUUAGUCCCCAUCUCUUUACACACACACACACACACACACACACACACACAGAGUAUUAUAAUACUAUUACCUAUUAUAUUACAUUAUAUUAUUGUAGUUCUACAGGAACUACAAGGAAUUCUACUGUGAAUUCCUUAAGGGUGGGAUACAUUUUACAAUCAUCACUGUUUCUCUCAUUAGUUGUGGAAUCAAAAAAAUGAGUGCACGAUGAAAAAUUAUUCAAACACAUACAUGCUUUCAUUCCAAUUGAAAAUGUAAAAAUAUUACUGUUAAAACAAUAUUAAAGGACAUGUAAUACAAUUCAAAUAUUCCUACCAUGCACGAUUGUUUUCACUUCUUUGUGCCUCUUUCACCAUUUAUUUGUGUGCAUACUCAGCAUAUUUGUUUGUGUAACAGGAUGUUAAAAAUAGAAUUUGUUGCCUGUAGUUUUUGCUAAAGCUCUACUAGACUGGAACAGAACAAUAGGUGGUAAAUACUCCAUUCCUCAGUGAGAUGCUACCUACCUAUGCAGAGCUGGAAAAGAUUUUGCAACCUGAAAACCCAAUCCUUUCUGAGAUAUAAAAGAACAGAAGAGUCUGGAAGUGAUUUCUUCGGAGAAAUUCAUUUUCUGUGAGUCUCACUCCUAAUCCCCUAUGAGAUAUCUGGGGGUGAAGGGCAGGUGCUGUUCCACACAGAGAGCUUGAUCCGUGCAUCUUGGAAGAGGGAGGUAGGUAGGGAACAGGGUGGGCUGCUUUGGGACCCAUGCCUUAAAACUCAGGUACUGGGGCUGGCUGGUUCUAAUGGCCAAGAGGUGAGAGGUGCACCUGUGGGGAACAACCUUCACUCUCAGUUUGUCAGGAUAGAGGAUAUGAGUCUUGCCCUGAGGAUGGGAUGUAGACUACAAGGGCAAGAGAGUCAGCUUAAAGAAAUCUGUAGAACUAUCUGCCAGGACUGAGGUGACCAUAGCAGAGAGAUGUUGGAGGUAUUCUGUUGGGAACAAGAUGGUGUGAGGUAAAGAUUGUAUUUGAUACCUGCUGGAGAAGAGAUCUUGCAUUAAGGCCAGCAUUAAGAGAACUUCAGAUGAGAAAUCCCUGGUGAAGCAGAGUCUCCAAAGAAUGCAUAAGAGCUCUGCAGUGAGAAAGAGAUCACCUGAAUACCUUCCAAAAUCAAAGCGUGGCAGUGACCAGCUAAGCAGAUCUUUCCUGUCUUCUACCUGGAAGGGCCUGAAACUGCAAUUCAUGAGUUUGGGGAAGGCAGAGAGGCACAAAGUGGGGAAAUGGAAAAGUUGACUAUGUCCGCUUUCCUACUGCAGUAUUCCAGAGAAGAAACUUCAAGCUCAGAAUAUUGGCUACUACCUGUGAUAAACAUUUAAAUUAUUGGAACGAGAGAGUUUUUAUAACUAAAUUUGAAAGAAGCAAUUUUUUUUAUCAAAGACCAACCCGAAGAUUCAUGACCACUACCUGUGAUUUCAUCCAUGUUGCAAGGAAAAUCCUGCCCCACUUCCCCAAUAGGAAGAGUGGUGGGGGAAUAAUAAAGUUGUUUUAUGAUGCAUCCUGUGGACUUCUACUCGACAGAAUGGUAACAUUCAACUGUAAUCAGGAUGAGCAAGCCACUUUAUUAAACUAAAAUUUUAAACUUUAAUAAAUAUAAUACAAACUGAAAAAUAAAAAUAAUUUUUCAACUCUACACAAGUAUGUUAACUGCAUAAACAGUGAGAUGUUACACAGGGCUGAGGCCUAUACUUCUUCAGUUUGUACAUUAAACGUCUCCAUGGAGGGUCAAUUGCAUCCUACCUAUUCUGACAGUUAUCAGGUAGCGAGAGAUUUGAGGAAGAGGCGCUUUUCUAAUCUGGGGUAGGAAAAGGAAUGAUACCAUGUAUCAUGAGAAGUAUUUGCACAUAGUGUGUCAAUUAAGCAAGUGCUCAGACUAUUAACAACAUUACUAUGUGAUGAAUGUUUAUACAGUGGAUUCAAAAAUAAGCUUCUUUCCAGAAAGCAGCUUAGUUUUCAUUAAUUAUUACCAGCAUCUUGGUAAUUAUUUAUUUAAUGGUUUAAAAGUUAAAGUUUCAAUCUAUAUUUGUUUUUUUAACAUCAGCCAAGGAAAUACAUGUCUGUUAUACUGCAUCUUUGGAAGUAUGCAAUAAGUGUAACUAUUGAAUCUAUAUUGAAGAGCCACAAGACACUGAAUUUAAUUGGACGAGACUAUUUUAUUUAGGAAGACAAUCAUCUCCUGUGAUCAGCUUAAGGUUUUUGUUUUGUUUUAUCUGGAACAAGCUAAGUUCAUAUUUAGAAAAUAAAGUUAGUUUUUUGGGUGCAUGAGUUUUAGAGUAAAUUAGUAAUUUAGUAAACUUUGACAUUUCCACUUUGUCUCCAAACACAUUUAAAUUCUAUCUGUCUGACUGAAGUUCUAAGGCAUUCUGUGGUUACUUAGAAAUGAUUCCUUAUAUUAAUGUUUACAAAUGCUAAAUUGUAUUUGUUAAAUACAUGUCUUAUUGCCUAAGAGUUUUCCUUUCUUAUAAGUUUAAUAUAAAUGUCUAGGAAAUAAGACUCCCAUUUAAUAGCUUAUAAAGAAUGCUGAUGUAUCAGCAGUGGCCUUGACAUUAUUGGAUACAAGUAAGAUCUACACUGAUGAUUAAAUCAAAUUGGCUAAGAUUAUUCGUUCUAAUAAAAGCACUGACUCCAUGAAGUUUUCUUGUGGCUGAAAUUAACAUUCGUGUUCCUACAAGCUCUUUAAAAUCUUAGUUACUGAAAAUUAUUCCUUUUGACCUAAUUUUUUCUUUACUUUGGAUGUAUUUGACAAGGUAGAGGUUAGGGAUUGGAGAGUAUGUAAAGAAUGAAAUAAAAUGUAGUCACUUUUAACUAUAUCCACAUAUAUCCACAGGGAGAUGGGGGUUAACACUGAUAAUUAUUCUCAACAUUCUUCUGGGUUUGGAGUUAAUUGAGAAAUACACAUAGCGGUCAGAAACAUAGGGAUCAAAAUAUCAGCAUAGUUUUCCAUAAAGCUGAAUGUGCCUUGGACCUGCAACUCAAACCAAGCUUCUAAGUACCUGUACCCAUGUCUAGAUUUGGAGUUUCUCAUCGGGGUAUUACAGUUGCAAAGGGUGUCACUCGCUGCCUUCCAUCCUUGGAUUCUGAAUAGUAAAAGAGGAAAAGAGGAAAUCACAAUGCAUAGGACUUUUAACAUACUAACUCCACUAGUUCAAGAAAAAUCAACGAAUGGAUGUUAGAUCAAUGCAUGUUAGACUAUCUCCCCCCAUCAUAACACUGAGAUGGGUCAGUGUUAGGGUUGCUAGAUUUAGCAUACACAAAAAUUAUAGGCUGCCAAGUUAAAUUAAGUUUCAGAUAAGCAAUUAGUUUUUUUCUCAGUGUAAGUAUGUUCCACAUGUUGCAUGUGACAUACUUAUACUAAGUAUGAGAUACACCUAACUCCUCCUCCUAUGGGUAGCAGUGAAUUAAGGGAUAUAGAGAUGCCUAAAAUUACACACUAACAGAAGUAUCAUGAAAAAAUGAAGGCAGAGGCAUAGGGUUCCCAUGACAUACUUUGAGGAAUUUUGCGAGUUUAAGUCAUCAAAAUCUUGGAAAGAUAAAGUUAUUUAGAAGACAAUCACACAGUGCUACAAUAUUUAAAAUAGUUGUUCAUUUUACAACCAUUGCUGAUGAAUGACUGCAUACAUUGCUACGGGUACUAUAAAAGAAGUAGAAUUUUUUAAAAAAUUCCUGCCUUUAAUAAAAUAUAUAUUAUUUAAGUAUUAUUAUAUAACAUAAAAUAUUCACUUCUCAGUACAAAACACAAUAAGUAUUGUUAGAUGAAUGGUACCAUAAAUAACGCUGGAAGAAUUCAGAGCAAGGAAUGAUCUUUGUGGGCUGCAUGCCAGUUAAGAAGCAUUAAAAAGUAGAAAUUUGCCCCAUUUUCUAUAAGUCUAGAGAUAGAAUGAGCUUCAAGUACAGGACAGAAAGAAAUGGAUGAUGUCAAAUGGUAACUGAUGAUUUGUUUAUGAGUACAUAUACGAUGUCUACUUGGGAUUUCUAGGGCUAUUUGGAGAGUGAGUAUUUUGCAGGGGCUAAGGAUUCUAGUUAGUGAAGCGGCGAUCUGGUGGAAAAUUAAAGUAUCCAUGAGAAAUGCUGAAAAUAAGAAUUAAUGAGAUCUGGUGGCCUAAGGAGUAGAGUCCAAAAUGGUAAAUCUGUGUAACUGGCAUGGUAUCAACUCUGUUUUAGCUAUUGCUUAAUAGGUUGAAGAGUUGAAGGGUUUUCAAAGUACUUUUUAUUGUGAAAAUUUAAAAACAUGUAUAUUAAGGGUAAUAUGACAAAAAUCUGUAUACCCACCACCCAGAAUUUAAAUGUUUCAGGGUUUUAAAAAAAUUCUUCUCAGAUCAUUAGAAAUAGAGUUGAAGUCCCCUUUGUAUCCAGUCCCAGUCCUAUUCCCCUUUCUCUCUCCAGUGACAACCACUGUCAGAAAACUGGUGAGUUUUCUACUAUCAAAGUUUGUUAUAGAUUUACAACAUAUAGACGUAUCUAUUUUACAGAUGUAUCUGUAAAAUAGCUAACAUUUUGUAUGUUUUAAAAUGUUAUAGAAAAUAUAUCAUAUUUUUAUAUCAUUACAUAGCUUUCUUUUCUAUUUAAAAUUGUAUUUUAAGGAUAUAUAAAGAUUACAAGAUAUAUUUGUUGAAUAAAUAAAUGUUGUUACGUCCCAAAUUAUUUAUCCAACCUACUGAUCAACAUUUAGGUUGUUUCUAACAUUUUAUUAGAAUAAACAUUCUUGUCUAUGUCUUUUGAACAAAUGUGCUAGAAUUUCUCCAGGGUAUAUUCCUGGAAGCGAAAAAAAUACACUUUGUUAUUUUUAACAAAUAUUGCCCAGUUGCUCUGUAAUGCAGUUUUACCAAAUCACCCUCCCACCACAUGUCCCAUUUCCCAGCAUCCUUGCUAACCCUUUAUUACACUCUUUAAACUUGUCAAUCUAAUGAGAAACAUAUGAUAUCUCAGUGCUUUUAGUUUGCAUUUUCAUGAAUACUAAUGAGAGUAAAUAUUUUUUCAUAUGAUUGUUAGACAUUCUUAUUUCCCUUCUAAAAAACUGCCAUUUCAUAUCCUAUUUUUUUCUUUUUCUUAUAUAUUCUGGAUACUGAUCCUAUAUAUUAUGAACCUGUUCUAGUGUAGUUUGUCUUUUUUUUUUUUUGACUUUGCUGCCCACCUUUUCUUUUUUUUUUUUUAUUAUACUUUAAGUUUUAGGGUACAUGUGCACAUUGUGCAGCUUAGUUACAUAUGUGUACAUGUGCCAUGCUGGUGCGCUGCACCCACUAACUCGUCAUCUAGCAUUAGGUAUGUC
rnacentral:lncRNA from 1 species